GGUUUAUCGGGGUUUCCGCUUUUGCUUCUUCUUCAUUUUCUCUUGCCACCACCAUGUAAGAGAUGCCUCUUGCCUCCCGCCAUGAUUCUGAGGCCUCCCCAGCCAUGUGGAACUAAUGCCAAGAACCUGGACACUCUCCGACGGUAACAUGGAGACACUGAGAGAAGGUGGCCAUCUGUAAGCCAAGGAGAGAGACCUUAGAAGAAACCAAACCUGCCAAUACCUUGAUCUUGGACCUCCAGCCUCCAGUCAUGAGAAAAUAAAUAAAAUAAAUUUCUAUUGUUUAACCACCCAGCCCGUGGUAUUUUGUUAUGGUAGCCCCAGCCGACUAACACAGUUGCUUAAGAGAGCUGGGUGUGAUCUGGAUCCCUGCUAACCUGGGGUUCACUCUUUCGCCAUUCUCCUUUGCUCAUGGCCCUCCAGCCACACUGGUCUUUUCUAGUUUCUAGAAGGUCAGCCCCGUUCCAGGCUCUGGAGCUUUGAAUGCACUGUUCCUUCUAACUGUGCCCCAUGCUUUUUAAGUGACUGGCUCCUUCUUGUCUCACAGGUCUCAGCUGACAUAUCAUUUCCUCAGAAGUGCCUUCCUGACCACCCCGUGGAAGAGAAGUGUCUCCCUCUCCCUGAUAUUCUCUAUCCCUGGCCAUGGUUUGUUUCUUUACAGAUUUUUAUCAUGUUUUGUGAUAAUUUUGUUUGUUUACUUUUGUCAAGUCUUUUGUUUGUCUUUCCAAUAGUAGACCUUAAACUCCCAUGUAGGCAGAAACAUGCCUGUCUUACUCAUUGUUAUAUCCCAGUGGCCUAGCACAUUCUAGACCUUCAAUAAAUAAUUUCUGAGUGAA
rnacentral:lncRNA from 1 species